rnacentral:rRNA from 1 species
AGCAGCCGCGGUAAUUCCAGCUCCAAUAGCGUAUAUUAAAGUUGUUGCAGUUAAAAAGCUCGUAGUUGAAUUUCGGGGUUAGUAGGUUGGUCAUGCCUCUGGUAUGUACUGGUCUCACUGAUUCCUCCUUCCUGAUGAGCCGUAAUGCCAUUAAUUUGGUGUUGCGGGGAAUUUGGACUGUUACUUUGAAAAAAUUAGAGUGUUUAAAGCAGGCAUUAGCUUGAAUACAUUAGCAUAGG